rnacentral:rRNA from 1 species
UACGGGGGGGGCAAGCGUUGUUCGGAAUUACUGGGCGUAAAGGGCUCGUAGGCGGCCAACUAAGUCAGACGUGAAAUCCCUCGGCUUAACCGGGGAACUGCGUCUGAUACUGGAUGGCUUGAGUUUGGGAGAGGGAUGCGGAAUUCCAGGUGUAGCGGUGAAAUGCGUAGAUAUCUGGAGGAACACCGGUGGCGAAGGCGGCAUCCUGGACCAAAUCUGACGCUGAGGAGCGAAAGCCAGGGGAGCAAACGGG